GCUGGCGGCAGGCCUAACACAUGCAAGUCGAGCGGUAGCACAGAGAGCUUGCUCUCGGGUGACAAGCGGCGGACGGGUGAGUAACGCGUAGGAAUCUACCUAAUAGUGGGGGAUAGCCCAGGGAAACUUGGAUUAAUACCGCAUACGCCCUAAGGGGGAAAGCGGGGGAUCUUCGGACCUCGUGCUAUUAGAUGAGCCUGCGUAAGAUUAGCUAGUUGGUGAGGUAAGAGCUCACCAAGGCGACGAUCUUUAGCUGGUCUGAGAGGAUGAUCAGCCACACUGGGACUGAGACACGGCCCAGACUCCUACGGGAGGCAGCAGUGGGGAAUAUUGGACAAUGGGGGCAACCCUGAUCCAGCCAUGCCGCGUGUGUGAAGAAGGCCUUCGGGUUGUAAAGCACUUUCAGAUGUGAGGAAAGGUUGCAGAUUAAUACUCUGUAGCUGUGACGUUAACAUCAGAAGAAGGACCGGCUAACUCCGUGCCAGCAGCCGCGGUAAUACGGAGGGUCCGAGCGUUAAUCGGAAUUACUGGGCGUAAAGCGCGCGUAGGUGGUUUCGUCAGUCAGAUGUGAAAGCCCAGGGCUCAACCUUGGAACUGCACCUGAUACUGCGGAA
rnacentral:rRNA from 1 species